rnacentral:miRNA from 1 species
UAUUGAUCUCCAAUGCCUAGC